UUCAUUUCAAAUUGAAAAUAGCAAUUGUGCUACAACCUGGUGCGAUGCAUGUGUCCUUGUUUUUAUACAAGGUUAAUGUUGAAUUGUGCACUGUCCCUGUAUAAAUAAAAUUACAUAAAAU